rnacentral:rRNA from 1 species
ACAUGCAAGUCGAGCGGUAGAGAGAAGCUUGCUUCUCUUGAGAGCGGCGGACGGGUGAGUAAAGCCUAGGAAUCUGCCUGGUAGUGGGGGAUAACGUUCGGAAACGGACGCUAAUACCGCAUACGUCCUACGGGAGAAAGCAGGGGACCUUCGGGCCUUGCGCUAUCAGAUGAGCCUAGGUCGGAUUAGCUAGUUGGUGAGGUAAUGGCUCACCAAGGCCGACGAUCCGUAACUGGUCUGAGAGGAUGAUCAGUCACACUGGAACUGAGACACGGUCCAAGACUCCUACGGGAGGCAGCAGUGGGGAAUAUUGGACAAUGGGCGAAAGCCUGAUCCAGCCAUGCCGCGUGUGUGAAGAAGGUCUUCGGAUUGUAAAGCACUUUAAGUUGGGAGGAAGGGCAUUAACCUAAUACGUUAGUGUUUUGACGUUACCGACAGAAUAAGCACCGGCUAACUCUGUGCCAGCAGCCGCGGUAAUACAGAGGGUGCAAGCGUUAAUCGGAAUUACUGGGCGUAAAGCGCGCGUAGGUGGUUUGUUAAGUUGGAUGUGAAAUCCCCGGGCUCAACCUGGGAACUGCAUUCAAACCUGACUGACUAGAGUAUGGUAGAGGGUGGUGG